rnacentral:rRNA from 1 species
AUUGAACGCUGGCGGCAGGCCUAACACAUGCAAGUCGAGCGGAGCGGCGGACGGGUGAGUAAUGCCUAGGAAUCUGCCUGGUAGUGGGGGAUAACGUCCGGAAACGGGCGCUAAUACCGCAUACUAUCAGAUGAGCCUAGGUCGGAUUAGCUAGUUGGUGGGGUAAAGGCCUACCAGGGCGACGAUCCGUAACUGGGCUGAGAGGAUGAUCAGUCACACUGGAACUGAGACACGGGCCAGACUCCUACGGGAGGCAGCAGUGGGAAAUAUUGGGCAAUGGGCGAAGGCCUGACGCGCCCAGGCCGCGGGUUGGAAGAGGGUCUUCGGCUUGAAAAGCACUUUAAGAUGGGAGGCGUUACCAACAGAUAAAGCACCGGCUAACUACGUGCCAGCAGCCGCGGUAAUUC